AGGAGUCCGCCCGGCGGCACAGGAGCGGCCUUCGGGCGGCCCACUCCCGGACUGCACCCGGUUACGGGUCCGUGGUGCCGAAUUCGCUUCGGACAAGUACCGUGAGCCUCUCGGUUGGGUUUCCGCAGCUUCCACUUUCACGGGGUGACCGCGGAAACACUCCCAUCGAUACAGGGGAAGGGAGGAGGGAGAGAAACACUGAUCGGCACUGGAGCAUUGGCUGCCUCUCAGACGCUCCCGGACCGGGGACCGAACCCACAACCUAGGUCUGUGGCCUGACCGGGACUGGAACCAGGGACUUCCGUUUUGCGGGAGGAUGCCCAGCCCACUGACCCACACGGGAUCGCAUUUCCGGCGGAACUGCCUGCAGCCACGUCCCCGUCUCGGGCUCUGCUUUCCGGGACAGCAGACGGGACAGGCGUGGGCCAUUGGAGACAGAGAGAGAGAUCACCCAAGCAGGCUCCCGAGUCUGCAGGGAUGUCAUAAAUGCAGCGGGUGCUUAUUAACACAAAGUGGCGGCCCGAGGUGGUAACUGGGCCGUCCAGUGUGGGACUGUUUACAUCACAUUUGAAUGAAUUA